rnacentral:rRNA from 1 species
AAGAGACAGCAGUAGCCGCGGUAAUACGGAGGGUGCAAGCGUUAAUCGGAAUUACUGGGCGUAAAGCGCACGCAGGCGGUUUGUUAAGUCAGAUGUGAAAUCCCCGAGCUUAACUUGGGAACUGCAUUUGAAACUGGCAAGCUAGAGUCUUGUAGAGGGGGGUAGAAUUCCAGGUGUAGCGGUGAAAUGCGUAGAGAUCUGGAGGAAUAUCGGUGGCGAAGGCGGCCCCCUGGACAAAGACUGACACUCAGGUGCGAAAGCGUGGGGAGCAAACAGGAUUAGAUACCCCGGUAGUCCCUGUCUCUUAUAC